AUUGAACGCUGGCGGCAGGCUUAACACAUGCAAGUCGAGCGGUAGCACAAGAGAGCUUGCUCUCUGGGUGACGAGCGGCGGACGGGUGAGUAAUGUCUGGGAAACUGCCUGAUGGAGGGGGAUAACUACUGGAAACGGUAGCUAAUACCGCAUAACGUCGCAAGACCAAAGAGGGGGGCCUUCGGGCCUCUUGCCAUCAGAUGUGCCCAGAUGGGAUUAGCUAGUAGGUGGGGUAAUGGCUCACCUAGGCGACGAUCCCUAGCUGGUCUGAGAGGAUGACCAGCCACACUGGAACUGAGACACGGUCCAGACUCCUACGGGAGGCAGCAGUGGGGAAUAUUGCACAAUGGGCGCAAGCCUGAUGCAGCCAUGCCGCGUGUGUGAAGAAGGCCUUCGGGUUGUAAAGCACUUUCAGCGAGGAGGAAGGUGGUGAACUUAAUACGUUCAUCAAUUGACGUUACUCGCAGAAGAAGCACCGGCUAACUCCGUGCCAGCAGCCGCGGUAAUACGAAGGGUGCAAGCGUUAAUCGGAAUUACUGGGCGUAAAGCGCACGCAGGCGGUUUGUUAAGUCAGAUGUGAAAUCCCCGGGGCUCAACCUGGGAACUGCAUUUGAAACUGGCAAGCUAGAGUCUCGUAGAGGGGGGUAGAAUUCCAGGUGUAGCGGUGAAAUGCGUAGAGAUCUGGAGGAAUACCGGUGGCGAAGGCGGCCCCCUGGACGAAGACUGACGCUCAGGUGCGAAAGCGUGGGGAGCAAACAGGAUUAGAUACCCUGGUAGUCCACGCUGUAAACGAUGUCGAUUUGGAGGUUGUGCCCUUGAGGCGUGGCCUCCGGAGCUAACGCGUUAAAUCGACCGCCUGGGGAGUACGGCCGCAAGGUUAAAACUCAAAUGAAUUGACGGGGGCCCGCACAAGCGGUGGAGCAUGUGGUUUAAUUCGAUGCAACGCGAAGAACCUUACCUACUCUUGACAUCCAGAGAACUUUCCAGAGAUGGAUUGGUGCCUUCGGGAACUCUGAGACAGGUGCUGCAUGGCUGUCGUCAGCUCGUGUUGUGAAAUGUUGGGUUAAGUCCCGCAACGAGCGCAACCCUUAUCCUUUGUUGCCAGCGGUUCGGCCGGGAACUCAAAGGAGACUGCCAGUGAUAAACUGGAGGAAGGUGGGGAUGACGUCAAGUCAUCAUGGCCCUUACGAGUAGGGCUACACACGUGCUACAAUGGCAUAUACAAAGAGAAGCGACCUCGCGAGAGCAAGCGGACCUCAUAAAGUAUGUCGUAGUCCGGAUUGGAGUCUGCAACUCGACUCCAUGAAGUCGGAAUCGCUAGUAAUCGUAGAUCAGAAUGCUACGGUGAAUACGUUCCCGGGCCU
rnacentral:rRNA from 1 species